rnacentral:rRNA from 1 species
GACGAACGCUGGCGGCGUGCUUAACACAUGCGAGUCGAACGGAAAGGCCCUGCUUUUGUGGGGUGCUCGAGUGGCGAGCGGGUGUGUAACACGUGAGUAACCUGCCCUUGACUUUGGGAUAACUUCAGGAAACUGGGGCUAAUACCGGAUAGGAGCUCCUGCUGCAUGGGGGGGGUUGGAAAGUUUCGGCGGUUGGGGAUGGACUCGCGGCUUAUCAGCUUGUUGGUGGGGUAGUGGCUCACCAAGGCUUUGACGGGUAGCCGGCCUGAGAGGGUGACCGGCCACAUUGGGACUGAGAUACGGCCCAGACUCCUACGGGAGGCAGCAGUGGGGAAUAUUGCACAAUGGGCGGAAGCCUGAUGCAGCAACGCCGCGUGCGGGAUGACGGCCUUCGGGUUGUAAACCUCUUUCGCCUGUGACGAAGCGUGAGUGACGGUAAUGGGUAAAGAAGCACCGGCUAACUACGUG